AGAAACUCCAGUUUGAGAAGCUGAUUCCUGAUGAAGAACCCAGGGCACCUACUUUUAUAAGAGCAAUGCUGGUGGGCAGGUUUCGCUGCCAGUUUUCAAGUCGUCUGCAUAUAUUCACCCCAGCUUUCUCCUUCCUCUCUAGCCAUGUGACCCUAGAAAAGAUGCUGAGCAUUUCUGAGCUCUUCUCUACAAUGAGAAUCAUAUUUUUGCCAUCUAAAUCGUACCCUAAACCACGCAGGUUAGUGUGGCUGUUUCUGAACUCGACACAAACGUGGUCCUCUGGCACACCUUCCGCCGCCUCUGGCUGCCCUAGAUCAACGCGCUGCUGAGGUUCGUCCACGUUGCUGGCACUGUGGUGAUCUAGUCACUGUUGCUGCUCUGCUGGUGUUUCAGCGUGGGUCUGUGCUGGCGCGCAUCCAUCUCUUUUGCCGUUGGUGGACCUUUGAGCUGAUCCCGGCCGUGGCACCAGGAACCGUGGCUGCUAUCAGCUCCCCUGUGUUCUCCUGGCACACAGUGCUCA